rnacentral:rRNA from 2 species
GUGGUAAUUCUAGAGCUAAUACAUGCUAAAAACCUCGACUUCGGGAGGGGUGUAUUUAUUAGAUUAAAAACCAAUGCCCUUCGGGGCUCUUUGGUGAUUCAUAAUAACUAAACGAAUCGCAUGGCCUUGCGCCGGCGAUGGUUCAUUCAAAUUUCUGCCCUAUCAACUUUCGAUUGUAGAGUAGUGGUCUACAAUGGUUUCAACGGGUAACGGGGAAUUAGGGUUCUAUUCCGGAGAGGGAGCCUGAGAAACGGCUACCACAUCCAAGGAAGGCAGCAGGCGCGCAAAUUACCCAAUCCCGACACGGGGAGGUAGUGACAAUAAAUACUGAUACAGGGUUCUUUUGGAUCUUGUAAUUGGAAUGAGUACAAUGUAAAUACCUUAACGAGGAACAAUUGGAGGGCAAGUCUGGUGCCAGCAGCCGCGGUAAUUCCAGCUCCAAUAGCGUAUAUUAAAGUUGUUGCAGUUAAAAAGCUCGUAGUUGAACCUUGGAUCUGGCUGAUCUGUCCUCCUAAUCGAGCGCACGGAUUCGGCUGGAUCUUUCCUUCUGGGGAACCCUAUGCCCUUUACUGGGCGUAGUGGGGAACCAGGACUUUUACUUUGAAAAAAUUAGAGUGUUCAAAGCAGGCCUUUGCUCGAAUACAUUAGCAUGGAAUAAUAGAAUAGGACGUUGGUUCUAUUUUGUUGGUUUCUAG